rnacentral:rRNA from 1 species
UACGUAGGGCGCAAGCGUUAUCCGGAAUUAUUGGGCGUAAAGAGUUCGUAGGCGGCGCGGAAAGUAGGGUGUGAAAGCCCUCGGCUCAACCGAGGAAUUGCGCCCUAAACUGUCGCGCUCGAGGAACCUAGAGGUGAGCAGAACUGAUGGUGGAGCGGUGAAAUGCGUUGAUAUCAUCAGGAAUACCGGAGGCGAAGGCGGCUCACUGGGGGUUAUCUGACGCUGAGGAACGAAAGCCAGGGGAGCAAACGGG